rnacentral:rRNA from 1 species
UGAGGAAUAUUGGUCAAUGGGCGGAAGCCUGAACCAGCCAUCCCGCGUGCAGGAAGACGGCCCUAUGGGUUGUAAACUGCUUUUCCAGGGGGCGAAACUUUCCGAUGUAUCGGGAUUUGACGGUACCCUGGGAAUAAGCAUCGGCUAACUCCGUGCCAGCAGCCGCGGUAAUACGGAGGAUGCGAGCGUUAUCCGGAUUUAUUGGGCUUAAAGGGUGCGUAGGCGGAUCGAUAAGUCAGUGGUGAAACCCUGCAGCUUAACUGUAGACUUGCCGUUGAUACUGUUGGUCUUGAGUGUGGUCAAGGUAGGCGGAAUGUGUAAUGUAGCGGUGAAAUGCUUAGAUAUUACACAGAACACCGAUUGCGAAGGCAGCUUACUGGGCCAUUACUGACGCUGAUGCACGAAAGCGUGGGGAUCGAACAG